rnacentral:rRNA from 1 species
AUUGAACGCUGGCGGCAGGCCUAACACCUGCAAGUCGAGCGAGCGGCGGAAGGGUGAGUAAUGUCUGGGAAACUGCCUGAUGGAGGGGGAUAACUAUUGGAAAAGGUAUCUAAAACCGCAUACCAUCAGAUGUGCCCAGAUGGGUGUAGCAAGUAGGUGGGGUAAUGGCUCACUUAGGCGACGAUCCCUAGCUGGUCUGAGUGGAUGACCAGCCACACUGGAACGGAGACACGGUCCAGACUCCUACGGGAGGCAGCAGUGGGGAAUAUUGCACAAUGGGCGCAAGCCUGAUGCAGCCAUGCCGCGUGUAUGAAGAAGGCCUUCGGGUUGUAAAGUACUUUCAGUCGGGAGGCGUUACCGACAGAAGAAGCACCGGCUAACUCCGUGCCAGCAGCCGCGGUAAUUC